rnacentral:rRNA from 1 species
GAUGAACGCUAGCUACAGGCUUAACACAUGCAAGUCGAGGGACCGGCGCACGGGUGAGUAACACGUAUCCAACCUGCCCUUAACUCGGGGAUAGCCUUUCGAAAGAACGAUUAAUACCCGAUGUAAAGGAUGGGGUUGCGUUCCAUUAGGUUGUUGGUGAGGUAACGGCUAACCAAGCCUUCGAUGGAUAGGGGUUCUGAGAGGAAGGUCCCCCGCAUUGGAAAUGAGACACGGUCCAAACUCCGACGGGAGUGAGCAGUGAGGAAUAUUAGUCAAUAGGCGUUAGCCUGAACCAGCCAAGUAGCGUGAAGGAUGAAGGCUUAUGGGUCGUAAACUUCUUUUAUAUAAGAAUAUGUAUUAUAUGAAUAAGGAUCGGCUAACUCCGUGCCAGCAGCCGCGGUAAUUC